rnacentral:rRNA from 1 species
GUGAGGAAUCUUCCACAAUGGGCGAAAGCCUGAUGUAGCAACGCCGCGUGAAGGAUGAAGGUCUUCGGAUUGUAAACUUCUUUUAUGAGUGAAGAAUAUGACGGUAACUCAUGAAUAAGCACCGGCUAACUACGUGCCAGCAGCCGCGGUCAUACGUAGGGUGCAAGCAUUAUCCGGAGUGACUGGGCGUAAAGAGUUGCGUAGGCGGUUAUGUAAGCGAAUAGUGAAACCUGGUGGCUCAACCACACAGACUAUUAUUCGAACUGCAUAACUCGAGAAUGGUAGAGGUAACUGGAAUUUCUUGUGUAGGAGUGAAAUCCGUAGAUAUAAGAAGGAACACCAAUGGCGUAGGCAGGUUACUGGGCCAUUUCUGACGCUAAGGCACGAAAGCGUGGGGAGCGAACCGGAUUAGAAACCCCAGUAGUCC